rnacentral:rRNA from 1 species
GGACGAACGCUGGCGGCGCGCCUAACACAUGCAAGUCGAACGAGCGAGAGAGAGCUUGCUUUCUCGAGCGAGUGGCGAACGGGUGAGUAACGCGUGAGGAACCUGCCUCAAAGAGGGGGACAACAGUUGGAAACGACUGCUAAUACCGCAUAAGCCCACGACCCGGCAUCGGGUUGAGGGAAAAGGAGCAAUCCGCUUUGAGAUGGCCUCGCGUCCGAUUAGCUAGUUGGUGAGGUAAUGGCCCACCAAGGCGACGAUCGGUAGCCGGACUGAGAGGUUGAACGGCCACAUUGGGACUGAGACACGGCCCAGACUCCUACGGGAGGCAGCAGUGGGGGAUAUUGCGCAAUGGGGGAAACCCUGACGCAGCAACGCCGCGUGAAGGAUGAAGGUCUUCGGAUUGUAAACUUCUUUUAUUAAGGACGAAGAAAGUGACGGUACUUAAUGAAUAAGCUCCGGCUAACUACGUG